UAUGCAGAAACUCACUUGAAUGUAGAAUUUACGCCAUCUUCCUUGUCUUUUUUCAUUUUCAUCAAAAAUGCAUCUACAAAAUCGUCACCUUCCUCGCUGAUAACA
rnacentral:snoRNA from 1 species